rnacentral:lncRNA from 10 species
UAGCCAAAGAAUUAUUCUUUGAACUCAAUUCUGUUUACUUCUCUCCUGAAAAACAAUCAAUGCCCCCCUACCCAUGCCUUUUAUUUUUCACACAGAUUCUUGAGUCUGGGUUUCAAGGCUUUCCACAGUCUGGCCUAAGCUUUUUACAGGAAUCACCAUGGAUGAUGCCUGACCUUGCAUUUUGCUCAUGCAGUUUGUUUGUACCAUUCAAGGUGCAGCUGACAGCCAGCUUGCAACCACAAGGAUGGCCACCAUGAAGUCAAAGGAGAACUGAGAGAAGAACCAAGAAACAGACCAGGAACCCUGACCGAACUGCUCUGAAAAGCCCCUGCUUCUGGACUCCAUUGUGUAAAAUACAUUUCCCCGUUGCCUAAGCCUGGUCAAGACAUACUUUUGUUACUUGCAGCUAAAAGAAUCCCAGCGGAUAUAUUCAUCUUUCCAGCUUUAUCUCCAGCCAUACAGGAUAACUUGCUUCUCUUGAAAUUUCCCCUCACAGUCCUACCUUGGUGCCUUCUCUCAUUCUUGUCUUCACCUGGAAUGCUCUCCCCAAACUAUAUUGUUAAGGUCUUAUACACUCUUCAAAGUCCAGAUUCAAAGGCACCAACUUAUCCUCAUUCAGAAGGACUCUCUGCCCUCCUGAGUCUCCAAGAUGCUUUGUGUACACCUGAUGGCACCAAAACAUCCACUCUACAGCACGCUCAUCUGCCUCCUUCACGGGAUGGCAUAUUCCAGGGAGGCUGCUUCUCUUUAUAAUUUUGAAUCCCCUAGUCUGGAACAAAGUGUGCUUAGGAGAUAUUUGUUGCAUUAAGAUGUGAAAUUCAAUACAAAUGAUAACCAAAAGUCAAAUGAUGGUAACAAAAGCAAUCAGUGUUAAGUAAGGCAGAAAGGGAUGGGAUCUCUCUGGGCUGGAGCAGUGAGGGUGGGAACUGUGGCUCAUGUCUUGUAAUCCCAGCACUUCGAGAGGCUGAGGUCGAAGGAUUGCUUGAGCCCAGGAGUUUGACAGCAGGCUAGGCAACACAGCAAGACCCUGCCUCUACAAAAAAUUAAAAAAUUAGCUAGGUAUGGUAGCACGCAACUGUAGUCCCAGCUACUCGGGAGGCUGAAGUGGAAGAGUUGCUUGGGGCCAAAAGUGUGAGGCUGUACUCCACCCUGGGUAACAGAGUGAGACUCUAUCAAAAAGAAAAAAAAAAAGAAGAAGAAGAAGGAGAAAGAAAAGAAGUAAAGAAGAAAUAAGUGCUACUUAUGUCUUGGGAUGUGCCCCAACUAAUAGGUAGAAUUUGGAUAUGUUGGCUUGGGGGGAAUUCCUCCAUGGAGAGGACUAAGCUGAUGCAGGGAUCUGUUUCUCAUUCCUCUACUCAUUGUAGUAUGUUUGAGGGUUUCUUUGUAAUUGUUGGGAAAUGUGGUCUCUGUAAUAAAAUUAUGGUGGGUGGAAGAGGAGAAAAGUUGGUUUUGUCCAAGUGGAAAUGAGUUCUUCAUUUUUUCUAUGAUUAUAAAAUGAAUAAACACAAGUGGCAGUUGGGGAUGGGCUGGGAGCAUUUCAAGAUGGUUUUUAUAAGCCCAACAAAGUAUAGCUGUGAGACAGAGGGGAUGUUGAACUCAUCACCAUGUUCCUCCAGGUAUCCAGACAUUCCCUCUGUUUCAGGGGCUUAAGUGUUCAGGCUGUUAUAAAGAGGGUUGUCCAUCCAUAUAAGGUACUAUGGCAGACACAUUAUGUGUUCUUAUUAUCUCAUCUUCUUCAUGAUCACACGAGAAGACUACAAGUGCUGCCAUGUGACUGGGUCUUGCCAGUGGAAUAUAGGUGGUAAUAAUGUACAACUCCACUUCCAAGCCUAGCCCCUAAAAUGGCCCAUGCAAUCUUUCAUGGUCUCUCUCUCAUUGUCUGGUUGAAUCUACAAGUUCCAGUGGAAGACUCUGAGGAGGACUUAAGCAAGGCAAACCCACCAGAUGAAGGAAGCCUGAAUCCCAGAGUCUCACUGCUUGGAGGAAAACUGCUCUAGAGAGCUGCUUGACCAAGAACACCUGCAUUGAACCUCGUGUGAGAAAGAAAUAAAGUUCUACUACUACAUUAACAC